UACGAAGGGGGCUAGCGUUGCUCGGAAUCACUGGGCGUAAAGGGUGCGUAGGCGGGUCUUUAAGUCAGGGGUGAAAUCCUGGAGCUCAACUCCAGAACUGCCUUUGAUACUGAGGAUCUUGAGUUCGGGAGAGGUGAGUGGGAACUGCGAGUGUAGAGGUGAAAUUCGUAGAUAUUCGCAAGAACACCAGUGGCGAAGGCGGACUCACUGGCCCGA
rnacentral:rRNA from 1 species